rnacentral:rRNA from 1 species
UACGUAGGGUGCAAGCGUUGUCCGGAAUUAUUGGGCGUAAAGAGCUCGUAGGCGGUCUGUCGCGUCUGCUGUGAAAAUCCAGGGCUCAACCCUGGACCUGCAGUGGGUACGGGCAGACUAGAGUGCGGUAGGGGAGAUCGGAAUUCCUGGUGUAGCGGUGAAAUGCGCAGAUAUCAGGAGGAACACCGGUGGCGAAGGCGGGUCUCUGGGCCGAUAUUGACGCUGAGGAGCGAAAGCGUGGGGAGCGAACAGG